UAAAGGCUGUCAAAAGUUUAAAAUCAAAAUCAGUAAAACCAGUCGCUGAUAUUGCUGCUUUCAUAAUGAAUUAGCUUAAGAUUUUAAUUUAUAUAUCAAUAUAACAUAUUUUCCGCUUCUCUCGUUAAUAAAAUGCAGUAAAAUCGCAGUUGAAGUACAUUAAUAUUUGAUUUCCUAGUCAGAGACAUUAACAUUAAACAAACAAAGAAACAAAAACUUAUGGCUUUCAUUAAAUACAAUUAGUGAAGCGAAUCAAAUAUGCGCAAAUAUAAAACUUCCAAACAGAAUGGCAUAUUAAUAGAAUUGACGUCUUGUUUUCUUCUCGAGCGCUAUUUAUUUCCGCUGGAAUCGGAGAGUGAACGAAAGCCCGCCAGACAGAGAUUCAAAAACUAACGUUAAACAGAACUGGAUUGAAAGUAAUGUGGAACCGAAAUGUUUACUAAAGUGGAUUCAUGUGUCUGCGAAUUUGUUUUGUGGUGUUGGGCUGGAAGAAGACACUUGACUUUGAUUACUGAUAGAGAUCAUCAUCUCCCUCAUCUCUGAACUGACCCCCAGACCCUUGGCCUGACCCCUGACCUCCACCUGACUGAGGUGCUGUAGGAAACCUGCCGAUGAGAGACAAUUUACUUAACAAAAUGAGAAAGCUUCGUCAUCUUGGAAAUGGGUCCUCUGCAGAACCUUCACGUGUCUUUCAUAGAUCUUUAGGGCGGGACCAAGUCUGAUUGACAGGCCUGUCAGCACAUCAUUCCUUUGCAUCAGAAGGAGGGACUUCCC